rnacentral:rRNA from 1 species
AUUGAACGCUGGCGGCAUGCCUUACACAUGCAAGUCGAACGGCAGCACGGGGGCAACCCUGGUGGCGAGUGGCGAACGGGUGAGUAACACAUCGGAACGUACCCAGUUGUGGGGGAUAACCAGUCGAAAGACGGGCUAAUACCGCAUGAUCUGGCGACAGCAAAGCGGGGGAUCGGCAACGACCUCGCGCGAUUGGAGCGGCCGAUGUCCGAUUAGCUAGUUGGGGGGUAAAGGCCCACCAAGGCUUUGAUCGGUAGCUGGUCUGAGAGGAUGAUCAGCCACACUGGGACUGAGACACGGCCCAGACUCCUACGGGAGGCAGCAGUGGGGAAUUUUGGCAAUGGGGGCAACCUGAUCCAGCCAUGCCGCGUGAGUGAAGAAGGCCUGGUU